AGAGUUUGAUCCUGGCUCAGGAUGAACGCUGGCGGCGUGCCUAAUACAUGCAAGUCGAACGAGGUGCUUUUGUAGCAAUACGAGAGUAUCCUAGUGGCGAACGGGUGAGUAACGCGUUGGUGACCUACCCCAAAGUGUGGGAUAACAGUCCGAAAGGAUUGCUAAUACCGCAUGUGGUCUUCGGAUUUAGAAACUGAUGACUAAAGGAGCAAUUCGCUUUGGGAGGGACCUGCGUCCCAUCAGCUAGUUGGUGAGGUAAUGGCUCACCAAGGCUACGACGGGUAGGGGACCUGAGAGGGUGACCCCCCACAAUGGAACUGAAACACGGUCCAUACACCUACGGGUGGCAGCAGUAGGGAAUAUUGCACAAUGGGCGAAAGCCUGAUGCAGCAACGCCGCGUGUGCGAUGAAGGCCUUCGGGUCGUAAAGCACUUUUCUGAGAGAUGAGCAAGGACAGUAUCUCAGGAAUAAGUCUCGGCUAACUACGUGCCAGCAGCCGCGGUAAAACGUAGGAGGCAAGCGUUAUCCGGAUUCACUGGGCGUAAAGCGCGUGCAGGCGGUUCGGUAAGUUGGGCGUGAAAUCUCCUGGCUUAACUAGGAGAGGUCGUUCAAUACUACCGGACUUGAGAGUGAUAGAGGAAGAUGGAAUUCCCGGUGUAGUGGUGAAAUGCGUAGAUAUCGGGAGGAACACCAGUGGCGAAAGCGAUCUUCUGGAUCAUUUCUGACGCUCAGACGCGAAAGCUAGGGUAGUAAACGGGAUUAGAGACCCCGGUAAUCCUAGCCGUAAACGAUGUAAACUUGGCGUCGGUGGGUUAAACUCCAUCAGUGCCGAAGCAAACGCGAUAAGUUUACCGCCUGGGGACUACGAU
rnacentral:rRNA from 1 species